AUGAAACAACCUCCUGGGUUUGUAAGUGCACAGGCACCACUUCAUGUGUGCAAACUUGACAAGGCCUUGUAUGGACUGAAACAGGCCCCAAGAGCAUGGUAUUCUCGUCUCAGUAAAAAGAUGCAAACACUUGGUUUUGUUCCCUCAAAGUCUAACACUUCGUUAUUUAUCUAUAACAAGUCAAGAGUAUCCAUAUUUGUUCUCAUUUAUGUUGAUGAUAUAAUUGUAACAAGCUUAUCUGAUGAAGCAAUAACAGCACUGUUGAAGGAUUUAAGUGCAGAAUUUGCUCUAAAGGAUCUAGGAGAUUUGCAUUACUUUCUUGGUAUUGAGGUCAAGCAACACAAGGAUGGUCUUCACCUCUCUCAAGAAAAGUAUGCAACAGACUUGGUAAAAAAGGCUGGUUUGCAAAGUUGUAAGUCUGCACCCACUCCUUUGUCUAGCACAGAAAAAUUGUCUCUUGCUGAAGGAGAGCCUCUGAAUUCAGAAAAUGGUACGAAAUAUAGGAGCUUGGUAGGUGCACUUCAAUACUUAACAUUGACUAGACCAGAUAUUUCUUUUGCUGUCAAUAAAGUAUGCCAGUUUCUUCAUGCACCUACCACUGUUCAUAUGACUGCUGCAAAACGUAUAGUAAGAUAUGUGAAAAGCACUUUGAGUAUUGGUCUAAACUUCAGCAAGUCAUCCUCUACACUUGUCAGUGCCUUUUCUGACUUAAACUGGGCUGGGUGUCUAGAUGAUAGACGCUCAACUGGUGGUUUUGCGGUAUUCUUUGGACCCAAUUUGAUAUCUUGGAGUGCCAGAAAGCAAGCUACACUUUCAAGAUCCAGUACAGAGGCAGAGUACAAACCAUUGGCUAAUGCAACAGCAGAGAUCAUAUGGGUACAGUCAAUUUUAAAGGAACUUGGUAUAAGAAGCACUAGAGCUCCAUGUUUGUGGUGUGACAAUCUAGGAGCUACCUAUCUGUCAGUAAAUCCAGUCUUUCAUGCUAGGACCAAGCACAUUGAAAUAGAUUUUCACUUUGUUCGAGAAAGAGUUGCAAAUAAGCUCUUGGAUAUUCGGUUCAUUCAUUCUCAAGACCAAGUUGCUGAUGGUUUUACCAAAGCAUUGCCUACAAGAAGUUUUGAAGACUUCAAG
rnacentral:rRNA from 1 species